rnacentral:rRNA from 1 species
AGCCUACGGGAGGCAGCAGUUAGGAAUAUUCGUCAAUGGGGGAAACCCUGAACGAGCAAUGCCGCGUGAAGGAUGACGGUCCUAUGGAUUGUAAACUUUUGUUGUUAGGGAAGAACGACCUAAGUAGGAAAUGACUUAGGAGUGACGGUACCUUUCAAGAAAGCUCCGGCUAACUACGUGCCAGCAGCCGCGGUAAUACGUAGGGAGCGAGCGUUAUCCGGAUUUACUGGGUGUAAAGGGGGCGCAGACGGCAGCGCAAGCCAGGAGUGAAAGCCCGGGGCCCAACCCCGGGACUGCUCUUGGAA